ensembl:lncRNA
GGGGGGGGCAGGAGGUGCCCGAGGACCCUGCCCCUUUUUUUUGGGGGGGGGGAGGCACUGCGGACCAACAGGGCGCUGCCCCGUGGGACUCUCACACCCCCCGCGGCAUCAGGGAUGUGCUGGGGCAGAGCCCCGAGAAGCACUGCAGCCCCCCCUGUACAGCCCCUUUGCACCACUGCAACCCCCCCAUGCACCUUUACAGCCCCCCCACGCACCUUUACAGCCCCCCAUGCACCAUUGCAAACCCCUCAUGCACCUUUAUAAACCCCCCCAUGCACCGCUGCGACCCCCCUGCACCGUUGCAACCCCCCCACAAUUGCAGCACCCCUCUGCACCGUUGCAACCCGCCCAUGCACCACUGCAACCCCCCUGCACCUUUACAACCCCUUUGCACCAUUGCAACCCCCCCCUGCACCAUUGCAGCCCCCCCAUGCAUCUUUGCAAGGCCUCUAUCACACUGCCGCAAGUCCCACAAGAACAUUAAAAUCCCCCCACAUGCACCAUUGCAACCCCACAAGCACCACGGCACGCCCCGUGCACUGCUGCAAGUCCCACAAAUACCAUUAAAAUCCCCCACAAACACCACUGCAACCCCACAAACACCACUGCAGCCCCACGAGCACCACUGCAGCCCCACGAGCACUGUUGCAGCCCCACAAGCAGCACUGCAACCCCACAGGCACCACGGCAUGCCCCGUGCACUGCCGCAAGUCCCGUAAGCACCAUCAAAAUCCCCCACAAACACCACGGCAGCCCCACGAGCACCGUUGCAGCCCCACAUACCCCACUGGAGCCCCACGCAGCGUCACCCCUAACCACACACGACCACUCGCCGCCACGCAGCCCCACAGCCAGCCCCACGGGUCCCUGCCCCACACGUCCCCACGGGCACCACCCCACCAUCUCCCUCCCGUCCCGGCGCCACCAGGCAGGGCCUCGGCUCGGGCUGAGCUGAGCUUUAAUGACGGACAAGAAGCAAAGGCACGCGUGGCACGGCCCCGGGCCGGCGUCUCGAGUCGCAGCCGUCACGGCCGGGCCGGGGACCCACCGGGGACCCCCCCCAGCACCAUCCGGAGAGGGAAGGAGAGGCACGGCCACCGGGGCGGUGGGCGAUAAGGCACCGGGCAGAGGCGAGGAGGGCGUCGGGUUAAGGCACCGGGCGGAGGAUUGGUCCCUGUUAGAGGCACCCCAUAGGGGCAGCAGGAGCUGGAGGCGCUUCGCGUCCCCGUGGGGCCGUGGCUCCUCCGCUCCGCGCCGCGGCUCACACGGGCGCCACGUAAUUGCCGGGGAAAGUGCCGAAUUUCUGCGUCCUCCUGGAGACGCCUGGGGAGAAAGGCGAGGGGAGGGCGGUGAGGCCGGCGGCGGCCCCCCCCCAAGCCCCGAGCCGUCCCCAGCCCGUCCCCGUCGGCCACGCACCCACGAACCAGCCGUCGUCGCACUGCUGCAUGACGUCCACGCGGUCCCCUUCCUGCAGCUCCAGCUCGUCGGCGUUUUGGGGCCGGUACUGGUAGAGCGCCCGUUACGGGGUCCACUGGAUUUCGGAGCCGUUGUAGGACGGGGCGGGUGCAGGGGGGGUGCUGGCGGGUGCCCCCACGGCUGGGCGCUGCGGGGGGAGAGAAGGGAGAGGUGUUAUGGGGCAGCACCCGCAGUCCUAAUAGGGUUAUGGGGUGGGGAUG